ACACUGCAGCCCAUUUGACUGAGGAACCAGACUUUUGGGUGAUUCAAGAGGCUGGAUUCUAGUACUAUUUCUGCAUCCUACUCUAAGUGAUCUGGGGCAAGAAAAUUCUGUAGUUUGUGCCUGUCCGGCCCACUCCCUUUCUCCAGUAAUGCUUCCUCCAUUUCCAUUUGGGGACCACUCCUCCCCUACUCUCAGUCCAUGUGAGGACUGAGAUCGUCCUCACAGUCCUGAGAUCGUCUUAUCUCCAUGUUUGGCCCAUGACCCACGUCUAACCAUGAGGUAGGUGUUCCAGCUCCCCGGCUAAAGUAAUUGGUUCAAGAACAGGCAUCUGAUUCAAGUUGGACCAAUCAGAAUCCGUCUCAAGACUUUUGCUACAUUUGUUGUGAAAGAGAUGCUCUUUUCCUGGAGAUUGCUAACCUGGUAACACCCCAAGCCUGAGAUCUGCCACGUGGGCAGAACAUGCCUUAAAAUGAAGUCAACACAGACGAAAGCAAAGCUCAGAAGGGGUGAGAGCAAAUCCUGAUGACAUCAUUCAAAUGCCUGGAUCCAACAACAGUACCUGAAGUUAGACCUACAGCUAGAGAUACAUUUGAUUUGAAUUGCUACUGCCUGUAACCAAGAGUUCCAACAAAUACCCAUCACAAUGUACUGGAGUGGGGACAGAAGACCUCCCUAUAGAAGUAUGGUGCAUCUCACCUGGGGAUGAUAUCCGCUGCAAUCCUGCAUGUCAGUGACUAUCAAAGUGCCAUCUGGAUCAGCUUCACCUGUUGUUAGACGUGCAGAUUCUUAGGCCCCAAUCCAACCUACUGAACCAGAAACUCUGGAGGGGGACCGAGCACCGAGUGUUCAACAAGCCCUCCUGAUGGUUCGGAUGCUCACCAAAGUCCAAGAACCACGGAUGCAGGCAAUACAGUCACUGCUUGUUUCAGAGCAGAGGAGCGAUUCCACGAGAGCCUUGUUCAUCAGUAUGUAUUCAUUUAACAAAUAUUUAUUGAUAGCUAAACGCUGUGUUAGGCAUUGGAUUCAAGACAGGGUGCCUGCCCUCCAAUUGCUUACAGCCAAGCUCAGGAGCAGGCAAGGAAACAGAUCACAACACUAGGAGGCCACAAAUGCUAACACAGGACAGGUGAGGGGCCCCGGGCAGCGGAGGAGUAUCAGGGAAGACUUCCCAGAGGAGGCUCUGCCUGCACAGGAACUGGAGAAGCUGGCAUUGUCAGACGCAGAGCAGAACACAGUCAAUUGUUCCUGGUGACAGAGACGCUGUCCCGGACCAAACUUCAGCCAGGUUCCCCUGAGCCCUUUUCUCACCUGGGCCUCGAUCUUAGUGCCCAUCCUGUCUUUGGUCUGCCCAGCCCAGACUUAGCAAAGAGUCCUGCCAGGUCAUCCCCUCACCCAGGAGAUCUGACCACCCUUGAUAUCUGAGCAAAUUCCUCAUCUCUUACCCUGGAUGUCUAGCCCUUUGCCUUUAGCAAGAACCCUGUUAGGUCAGCUUAGCAAAAUCCCCCUACCCUGGACACUCCCUCUUAGUAAUUUUCCAUCCACUGAUGCCCUCACUGUGCUCGUUGUGUAUAUCAUUGUUGUAGUGGGAGUUGAGCUCUCUCUCCCUUAUUGCCAAACUCCUAUUACAAUGGUCCUCAAUAACCUUCCUUAUCAGUUUAACAAGUGUCAGAAUAGAUUUUUCUUUAACAUUGGGUGAGGGGAGCCAUUGUGCACAGACCCAGAUGAAGGAGAGAAUGUGGACCGGCUCCUUCAGUCCCUUAGGAUAGCUCAGGUGUUAGGGCAGAGUGUGAGUGAGGUGGCUGAGGCUCAACCAAGGAGGUGAGCCUAGAGAAGUGAACAGCGCCUGUGAGGCUCUCCAGGAGUUUGGGGUUUGUCCUGCAGGCAGUGGGAUGCAGGGAGAUGUUUUAUGCAGAAGAGUGAAAUUCUAGAGGCUUUCAUUGUAGAAAGAUCUCUCUGGCAGGCUGCCUCACAGGGAAUGGACUGGGGACCCCAAGCUUGGAGCCCUGAGAAACCAGAGAGGAAACUGCUCUCCCCAGGGGGGGAAAGAGGGCGUGGACAGGUCUGGACUAGGGCAGGCGGCUACAGGAAAGGAGACAGCUUUGAGAUCCAUUUAGAGAGUGGGUCACACAUCAGAAUCCCCCUGGAGAGAAUUUUUAAAUGAACACUUCCCUGAGCCCACCUUGGAGCCCCUGAAUCAGAAAUUCAAGCAUCUGUCUGUUUAAAAGACUGCUCUGGUCAGUCAGCUGAAGCCAGGACUGAGAACUACCUAGUAGGAGGCAAAAAGACCCAGCCUGCUGACAGAUUGAUGGGGGAGGACAGGAGCGAAGGGAAGAAAAGAAUGUGUGUGGGGGGCGUCCCCCAGGAGUCUGUGUGAGUCAUCAGAGAUGCCAGUCACUGCAUUUUCAGAAGGUGAAUCAUGAGUCUGGACUGGGGCAGUCAGGGUCUGAAAGCUACAUCCUCUUCUCUUUAGGUGCCACAAUGCUGGGUUUUCAGGGGGCAAAACCUCACAUAAAUGAACCACUUGAUUAAAGGGAUUGAAUUCAGACUCAUUCAUUCACCUCUUCAUUCAUUCAAGAAAUGUUUACAGAGCACCUGUUAUGCGCUGGAUGCUAUGCUAGGUGC